ACUUAAACGUGGAUUUACUUGCU
rnacentral:miRNA from 18 species